UGCUAUCGACCAUUCCUAAACUAAGAGCUGGCAGAGAGAAGAAGGAACCCCGGGUGGCCCAAACUGAAAAGACCCGACUGAAUGCUUCUCCUAAGCCCCGCUGGAUCUGCUUCUCCCCCGUGGCUGCCCCAGAAUUUCUUCAUUGCUGACCCGAUACUCCUAGCUCUCACCUGCUCUGGCUCAAGGGCUUGCAUUUGGCUUUGAACUGCAACUCCCAGUGCCUACUUUAGGCAAAAACUCAGAAUAAACUAGCGACAGAAGGAGGCUUCCUGCACAAAUGUGUCAUUUAGGAAUGCCCCUCAGCUGCAAGGAAUAUCGUAUUUGACUGCAGAUGGCUCAAACGAGGGAUUUUUCUCAGGGCACAACAGCCCCCCUCCUCUAUGGGUUUGGGGUCGCCCCCUACUGGUCACAAUAAUAACUGCAGCAGGUGUUAGGUGUUAGGAGACAGAAGCCUUCUUCAGCUCAAAGUCAGGACUCACGCCUUGAGAUAAUGGCCUAAAUUUUUCCUCCCACAAUUCCUGCCUUUUAUCACCGAGGAAAACCUUCCUAGGAAGACAGACCCACCCACCCCCAGCCGACCUCCCUUUACAUCUCACCGACCAAAGUCAGUUUCAUGCCACAGGCUGAGCCCCUGAGAUUAAGAGUUUUCUGUCAAUUCUUGUCAAAAUCAGAGGGCAUUUUUUAGCACAGAAGAAGGAGGAAGAUUAUUUGGAGAUUGCUCCUGUCUAAAUGUGUCUGCAUCCAGUAGUGCACAGUCCUCCCAGGUCACCUGUCUUUCCAGUCAUCCCUGAUGCUCUGACAACACAGUGUAAACACAUACAAUUCUUAGAUCUCUGGCUGUACAAAAGCAAGUGGCAAGCUGCGUUUGACCCAGCGGCAGAAGCGUAUGAAUCCCCUUCCUGGAAUAUGAUGGUCUAGAGAUGCCUGUCAAAAUCCUCUGAAGCUGCCGUCCCCUUCCCCUUAGUAAAGCCUCCCAGUGCUCAUUUUUGCCUGUAGGUAUAAGGGCUGCAGGUCCUCUCCCUCCCUCAUGCAGCCUCCAAAAUGUGCCAUGGAAAUUCAGACACUUAGGAAUUGCCUUGGAACAGAACUGGUGGUAACAGCGACUCUAGGAUUUGCUGCCAGUUUCUCCCCCCGCCCCGCGGGUGGAACAAGUUGUUGAUUGUUCUCUUUCCCUGGAUUUUCACCAAGGUGAUAAAUGAGUCCCUGAGGAAGAGAUCUCGGGGAAAGGUGGGUGCUCGGAGCCAGAGCCCUGACCCCCAGGCCUUGCGCUCAUCUGCGUCAGAACCUCUGUUUCCAGCAAUAAAGGCUGUUCUAAGUGGUC